AUGGCGAGCAAUUUACAGAACAAAAGUCCACUGACACGGGAGUUUCCACUCGAGUUCUUACAAAGUAUUACGAAUAACUUUUCUGAGGACCGCAUAAUUGGCGAGGGUGGGUUUGCAGUAGUUUACAAGGGAGUAUUGGACAAUGGGGAAGAGAUUGCCCUGAAAAAGCUUACUCACACAGGGACUGAAGACACAAAAUUUGCAGAUGAGUUCAAUAACAUUGUUAGGGCGCGUCAUCAAAAUAUUGUACAGUAUGUUGGCUACUGCUAUCAUCCAGGUAGAUGGAUUGAGCACAAUCAACAAUAUGUUUUUGGUCAUGAGCCAACAAGAAUUCUCUGCUUUGAAUAUUUGCACGGUGGAGACCUUGGGAGACACCUUUCUGCAGAAGAGCAGCCAUGCGGACUUGAUUGGCAGACAUGCUACAAAAUAAUUCGGGGAGUGUGUGCAGGUUUGAAGUAUCUUCAUAGCGUAGAUAUUUACCAUCUAGACUUAAAGCCAGCAAAUAUAUUGCUGGACAACAACAUGAUGCCGAAAAUAGGAGAUUUUGGUAUAUCAAGAGUCUUACCUUCAUCAAAAACCAUUACCACCAAACCAGGAACAUUGAUAGGGACAAUGGGAUUCAUGCCACCAGAAUAUAUUGACAAACAAGAAAUCUCAUCAAAAUAUGACAUGUUCAGUUUGGGUGCUAUACUCAUACAAAUAAUGGCAGGACGCAAGAACUACUGCGAUUGUGGAAGUGUUCCUUCUGAAAAUUUCAUUGAUCUUGUAUGUGAAAUAUGGCGAAAAAAAGUACAUCCAGCAAUGUGGUCACACACAUGGAAAGAAGUUAAGGCAUGCAUCAGAAUAGCAUUAAGAUGUCUGGAGUAUGACCGACAUAAAAGGCCCACUAUAAGAGAGGUCGUCGAUGAGCUUAAUAGGAUCGAUAUUGAAGACAUCGUUGAUGAACUUGAUAGGAUUGAUAUUGACAUUUCUUCAGUUAGAGAUGAGGCUAUUAACUUACAAAGCAGGGUGGCAUUGGCCUAUAACCAUUACAAGAACUCAGCUUCGAUAGGGGCCCAUGCUAGCAGCAGCCAGCUCAAUUUCGCUCUUAACCCUAUGGACUACGAACACGAGUCCGUCAUGAGGAACCCGGAGUCCCAUGCUAUUGGAGGGCAUGCGGAUGUGUUGCAGACCAAUCAGGGUCACCGCUUCCAGAACCAAAAUCUCAGUUGUUCUGGAUUCAUUAGGGAGGAAGGAAGUGUUCAUACUCUUGUCACCAAGGAUAGAAUGGAUAUUACUGGGGUUACUAGUGACAACAAUGAGUAUGUCAAUCUUUUUCAGUGGGCUAGAUCUGCUAUUUCAUCGAAAUGGAGAGGCACUGAGGAGAAAGGCUUUCAAAAUAAACUGUUACACUUGGGAAGGGGCUUGCAACGUCUUAGUGAUACACUUCCUGAAAAGUAUGACCUCAUUAAUCGAGUAGAGUGGAGAAACCACAAAGAUGGUGUGGUUGGGCUCCUUCCAAAACUAAAGGAUGUGGUCUAUGAUGUUGAAGACCUUCUUGAUGAGCUAAGAUGGUACAACCAUAAGGUGAUAGUGGAGGGCAAUGCUAGCCAAUCAUCUAUUAUUGACUUCUUUAAUAGCUUCAUCAAUUUGAAUGAUAUCCAUGAAAGGUUGGAUUAUAUUUCCAAUAUCCUAGAGAAAAUGGGGCUUGGUGAAUUGACACCACGGUUUGACAAAACAGUUAGGCCGGAGACUAGCUCUUUCCCCAAUGAAACAAAAAUAUUUGGUCGUGGCAUGGAGCUAGAGCAGAUCUUGGGAUUGCUCGUGCCUAAACAUAGUAACACUCGUUUGAAACACAAGAGGGAAACUAGUGCAGAUGAAUCAAUACCAAAUCUUAUGGUUUUGCCGAUAGUUGGAAUUGGGGGUGUUGGAAAGACCACUUUGGCCCAGCAUAUCUGCAGUCAUCCACAAGUGAAAUCUCACUUCAACCCAAUAAUUUGGAUUUGUGUCUCAGAUGAUUUUGAUGUGAAGAGAUUGACUAAAGAGGUUAUCGAAUCUAAUCCUGGUAAAGUAGCAACAAGUGACAAUCUAAAUUCUCUUCAGAAUGCUCUUUCAAAGAUACUGCACAAUAAAAGGUUCUUGAUUGUCCUCGAUGAUAUGUGGGAUGAUGCUCUCAAGGAAAAUGGCCAGUGCUGGAAGAGGUUUUGUGCACCUCUGCAAGAUGUGCUACAAGGAAGUAUGAUAUUGGUCACCACUAGAUCUCCAAAGGUUGCUGGUUUAGUGGCUAAAAGUAUGGAACCAAUUAUAUUGGAAGGAUUAGACGAUGGUGUCUUUUGGAAUUUCUUCAAACUAUGUGCAUUUGGGUCUGAGAGUUCUGAUGAUUUUCCAGAGUUAGAGCUGAUUGGUAGAAAAAUAGUUCCCAAGUUAAAGGGCUCUCCUUUAGCUGCUAAAACUCUUGGACGAAUGUUACAGGAUGACCUUCGGACAUCACACUGGAAUUGUAUACUAGACAAUGAAUUGUGGGAGUUGGACCAAGAGACAACUGAAAUUUUGCCAGCCCUUCGGUUGAGUUACAUGUAUUUACCAUUCCACUUGAAAAGAUGUUUCUCAUUUUGUGCCGUGUACCCCAAAGAUAGGGAGUUUGAAAGGGAUUAUCUAGCUGAAAUUUGGGCUGCAGAAGGCUUUGUGAAAUGUCAAGGUGUUGUUCCACUUCAACAUAUUGGUUGUCAAUACUUUAAUGACCUUUUAAAUCGGUCCUUCUUUCAAGAAGUUCAAGGCAAAUACUUAAUCCAUGACUUGUUGCAUGAUAUGGCACAAAAAGUUUCCGAGGAUGAUUGUUUCAUUGUGAAAAGGACUGUUGACUUCAAAAGGGUUCCUCAGAAUGUCCGGCAUUUGUCUGUACUCACUGGCAAAGACAUAUACAAGUCUGACUUGUCGAGCCUAAGCCAGUACAAAAAGCUUCGUACCCUUAUUUGCAACAAACCUUUGGGAAAUAAAAAAACCCCAGCUCGUUUGGUUGAAGAUUGGUGCAAUGAACUUCUGCGUAUGCGUGUGAUUGUUUGUGCGUCUUUGAAUGAGUUACCAGCUAGCAUUGGCAAACUGAAGCAUCUUCGGUACCUUGAGAUAUCUAGAUCUUGUUAUGUCACCAGUUUUCCUACAGCAUUCUGUAGGCUCCAUAAUUUACAGGUUUUAUGUGUCAAGAAAUGCCAGGUUGAAAGCUUGCCCAGUGACUUCAAUAGGUUGAUCAACUUAUGGAGAUUUGAAUCACAGGGAUUUAAAUAUGGUCCAAAUAUUAGAGGAUUUCCAGAAGAAUAUUAUGGAGUAAAUAUUGAUGUAGCCGAAGAUAAGUUUGGACUAGGAUGUAGGUUCAUAAAGAAUGUGAAGCAACUUCGUGGACAUUUGGUGAUAAAUAAUGUUUACAAGCUAAGCAAGUAUCAUUCAGCAGAUGCCAAUCUAAAGAAUAAGGAUUGUUUUGACAAGGUGACGCUGCAAUGGGGAAAAUGGAGUACAAAAUUCAGCGACGAAAACAAGAUAGAAGUCCUUGCAGAUCUACAACCUCCUGCUAGUACCAAGUCUCUUGUCCUUGAGGGUUACCCAGGUGUUUCUCGUCCAAGCUGGUUUGAGCCACAAAGCCUGCCAAGCUUAACAUCCGUUUCAUUUCUUCAUUGUGAUCGACUCAGGAAUAGGAUACUUAAUGGCAGCACUGGUUUCUCGUCCCUGACAGAUCUAAUCAUUGAUGGGUGCUACCGUUUAUCAAGUCUCAAACAGCUUCUCCACCCAACUUAUCUACCAGUCAUCAAGAGAAUUGCACUUAUGAACUGUCGGUACUUAGUAUCUGUACCGACCGAACGAUUUGGGGAUUUUCGUUGCCUUGAAAUAUUCAAGCUGCUGAAUUGUGGAAAAAUAAACUCCGCGAGUUUGACUGCCCCCUCUCUCAAGAAGCUCAUGCUAGAUGGUAGCUGUGGGAAUCUCACGGACAAUAUCCAAUGCUGCUCUCUCACCAACUUUUUCCUGACAGACGGCACGUCCAUCCAACUACAAAUGUGGAAUCUUCCUGCUCUACAGGAAUUGCAUAUUAAAGGUGGAUCUCUUACAUCUAUUGGGCAAUCUGGACAUGUCUUCACCAACCUUACUUCCCUAACCAUCAGCUGGUGCGAUAAACUGUCCACCAUUGAUGGCCUCCUAGAAAAAGAAUAUCUACCUGCCAUUGAGAGCAUUACAUUUGCCGACUGUAUGAGUUUGUCCAUGCAUGGUGAAAGGUUUGGGGAUUUUUCUUCUCUGAAGGAUUUGAAAGUUUCUAGCUGCCAUAAAAUCAACUGGGCGGGAUUGGUGUUACCAUCGUCACUCCAAAGUCUCCACUUGUAUUCAUGUGGAGAUAUCUCUUCAUUUAUUACCAGCGGCCUAGAAAACCUUCAAUCCUUAGUUUCACUAAAACUAUCAUGGUGUUCGCAUAUAAGAUCCAUUCCAGGCCACCUUUGGAGCAGUACUCUCUCAUCGCUCCAGGAAUUACAGAUUCACUUUUGUUGGGACCUUGUGUCCAUUGGUGGAGCAGAUGACAUUUCAGAAAUACAAAAUGUGUGGAUUGAGGACUGUCGAAAUUUGAAGGGAAUAGAGCAGCCUCUGAAAAGAGGCAGCUUCUUCAUAGCCAAGAAGAAAGAGCAGCCUGUGAAAACAAGCUCAAAAUCGGUCUGGUGCAUGCCCACGGGGGAUUGA
rnacentral:rRNA from 1 species